AAGCUUAAUCAACUUUGGGCAUUGGCCCUUUGUUGACUUGUUUGGUCAAAAUCCUAUUCUACUUGGUCCAAAAUACAAGGCUCAAUUGAAAUCCUACAUUAUUAGGCCCAUAAUACCAAGCCCAGAUAAAAUCUAGACUACUUGGCCCAUAAUUCAAAGCCCAAAUAAAAUCUAGACUACUUGACCCAAAAUACAGGCCCAA
rnacentral:lncRNA from 1 species